rnacentral:lncRNA from 1 species
CGCAUUGAUCAUGCUCGAUUUACCAGCGCCAGUUCUCCCAACUAUCCCCACCUUCUGGUGCGGAUGGAUGGUGAACGAGAGCCCCUUGAGGACCGGGGGAAGCCCGGGCCUAUACCGGAGGAACACAUCUUCGAACCUCACCAAUCCAGAGGCCGGCCAUCCGGGUGGAGGCCGGCUUCCUUCAACCACAUCCGGAGCCUCGGAUGGCAAGUCUAUGUACGUUCCAACGCGCUCCACCGAGUUCAAGCUGUUCUCUGCUCUGCUUGCUUGUCUCAAGACAUUGCUGAGCAAAUUGGUGAU